rnacentral:rRNA from 1 species
GUGUAUGGCCAUACUACCCUGAACACACCUGAUCUCGUCUAAUCUCAGAAGCUAAGCAGAGUCAGGCAGGACUGGUUAGUUUGGAUGGGAAAAAACCUAGCACAGAGUUGUUGCUCAAUACA